UGACCUCGGAUCAGGUAGGAUUACCCGCUGAACUUAAGCAUAUCAAUAAGCGGAGGAAAAGAAACCAACAGGGAUUGCCCCAGUAACGGCGAGUGAAGCGGCAACAGCUCAGAUUUGGAAUCUGGCCUUCGGGCCCGAGUUGUAAUCUGGAGAGGAUGCUUCUGGCGCGGUGCCUUCCGAGUUCCCUGGAACGGGACGCCGGAGAGGGUGAGAGCCCCGUACGGUUGGACACCUAGCCUUUGUGAAGCUCCUUCGACGAGUCGAGUAGUUUGGGAAUGCUGCUCAAAAUGGGAGGUAAAUUUCUUCUAAAGCUAAAUAUUGGCCAGAGACCGAUAGCGCACAAGUAGAGUGAUCGAAAGAUGAAAAGCACUUUGAAAAGAGAGUUAAAAAGUACGUGAAAUUGUUGAAAGGGAAGCGCCUGUGGCCAGACUUGCGCCGCACGGACCAUCCAGCGUUCUCGCUGGUGCACUCCGCGCGGCGCAGGCCAGCAUCGGUUUUCCUAGGGGGAUAAAGGUCGCGGGAACGUAGCUCCUCCGGGAGUGUUAUAGCCCGUGGCGUCAUGCCCCUGGGGGGACCGAGGACCGCGCUUCGGCAAGGAUGCUGGCGUAAUGGCCACCGGCGACCCGU
rnacentral:rRNA from 2 species